rnacentral:piRNA from 1 species
UGAGCUGGUUCAGGGUGGCUGCUGUGU